UACGUAGGGGGCAAGCGUUGUCCGGAAUCAUUGGGCGUAAAGAGCGUGUAGGCGGCUCGAUAAGUCUGCUGUGAAAGUCCAGGGCUCAACCCUGGAAGGCCGGUGGAAACUGUCGGGCUAGAGUCCGGAAGAGGCGAGUGGAAUUCCCGGUGUAGCGGUGAAAUGUGUAGAGAUCGGGAGGAACACCGGUGGCGAAGGCGGUCUUCUGGACGGUGACUGACGCUGAGGCGCGAAAGCGUGGGGAGCAAACGGG
rnacentral:rRNA from 1 species